GACGAACGCUGGCGGCGUGCUUAACACAUGCAAGUCGAACGGAAAGGCCCCUUUGUGGUUACUCGAUUGGCGAACGGGUGAGUAACACGUGAGUAACCUGCCCUUCACUUCGGGAUAACUUCAGGAAACUGGGGCUAAUACCGGAUAGGAAUCCGUGCUGCAUGGUGGGGGUUGGAAAGCUUCGUCGGUUUUGGAUGGACUCGCGGCUGAUCAGCUUGUUGGUGGGGUAGUGGCUUACAAAGCCUUUGACUGGUAGCCGGCCCGAGAGGGCGACAGGCCACAUUGGGACUGAGAUAUGGGCCAGAGUCCUAUAGGAGGCGGAAGAGGGGAGUAUUGCACAAUGGGCGGAGGACUGAGACGGAGCAGCGGCGUGCGGGAUGAGGGGGUUCGGGUGGUGUACCGCUUUCAGCAGGGGAGAAGCUUGUGGUGACGGUACCUGCAGAAGAAGCACCGGCUAACUACGUG
rnacentral:rRNA from 1 species